rnacentral:rRNA from 1 species
GACGAACGCUGGCGGCGUGCUUAACACAUGCAAGUCGAACGGAAAGGCCCUGCUUUUGUGGGGUGCUCGAGUGGCGAACGGGUGAGUAACACGUGAGUAACCUGCCCUUGGCUUUGGGAUAACUUCAGGAAACUGGGGCUAAUACCGGAUAGGAGCUCCUGCUGCAUGGUGGGGGUUGGAAAGUUUCGGCGUUUGGGUAUGGACUCGCGGCUUAUCAGCUUUGUGGUGGGGUAGUGGCUUACCAAGGCUUUGACGGGUAGACUGCCUUAGAGGGUGACCGCGCACAUGGGGACUGAGAUAAGGCCCAGCGUCCUACGGGGGGAAGCAGUGGAGAAUAUUGCACAAUGGGCGGAAGCCUGAUGCAGUAGCGCCGCGAUCGGGAUGACGGCAUACGGGUUGUAAACAGCUUUCGCCUGUGACGAAGCGUUAGUGACGGUAAUGGGUAAAAAAGCACCGGCUAACUACGUG